ensembl:lncRNA
GGAAAGGGAAAAGAAAAGGAAAAAGGAACGGGAAAAAGGAAUGGGACAGGAGGGGAAAGGGGAAAGGAAAAAGAAAAGGAAAAGGAAAAAGGAAAAGAGGACAGGAUGGGAAAGGGGAAAGGAAAAAGAAAAGGAAAAAGACAAGGAAAAGGAAAAAGGGGAAAGAAAAAAGGGGAAAGUAAAAAGGGGAAAGGGAACAAGGAAAGGGAAAAGGAAAAAGGAAAAAGGACAGGGGGGGAAAGGGGAAAAGAAAGGAAAAAGAAAAGGAAAAAGGAAAGGGAAAAAGGAAAAGGACAGGAGGGGAAAGGGAAAGGGAAAAAGGAAAGGGAAAAAGGAAAAGGACAGGAGUGGAAAGGGGAAAGGGGAAGGGAAAAAGGAAAGGGAAAAGGAAAAAGGAAAAGGACAGGAGGGGAAAGGGGAAGGGAAAAAGGAAAAGGACAGGAGGGGAAAGGGGAAGGGAAAAAGGAAAGGGAAAAGAAAAGGGAAAAGAAAAGGAAAAAGGAAAAAGGACAGGAGGGGAAAGGGAAAGGGGAAUGGAAAGGAAAAAGGACAGAGGGGAAAGGGGAAAGGAAAAAGGACAGGAGGGGAAAGGGGAAAAGAAAGGAGGGGAAAGGAAAAAGGAAAGGAGGGGAAAGGAAAACGGAAAGGAAAAAGGAAAGGAGGGGAAAGGGGAAAGGAAAGUAAAAUAAAAUGGAAGUCCUCUACCUGCCCUCAAAGGAGCUGCAGCCCCCCCAGUGCUCAGCCUAUGUUGGCGUUCAGCAGCACAGUCUGCACUGCAGUGCUUUGUCCCACCAGCCAUGAGCAGCAGCCCCAUGCACAGAGCUCAGCAGGGAGCACUGCUGCUUUCUACACCUCUCUGCAUCCCUGCUUUGAGGCCCAGCAUCCAGCAGGCAGCAGAAUUUGGUCCUACCGUUUCAGUAGCAGUGGAUCAGCCCUCAAGUCCCACAGGUCACUUCUGAAGGCUGCACUCCGUUUGUGCAUCAUGCAACUGAAAGCUACUACAGAAGCAAGUGAAUAACCCAGUGAAAACACAGCAGCCCCUCGUUUAUUACAGAAAGCAUCAAUUAAAAGCCAUCAUAUGAUUAAAAACCCAGCACAGGGCCACUCGAGGUGGCUGUUAAGGUGCAGUGGCUGAAGGUGUUCCCUCCAUCAGUGCUCUGAUUGGCUCACGAAGAAUUUUGGAAGUUGCUGCCUUAAGCUUGAAAAGACAGAAGACAAAAGUGAAGGACAACCACUGAACUCCCCUUUAGCUGCCGUCAUCUCCUCCUAAUACUUCAUCAACUUCGUUUCUCUUCACAUGGAGCUGCCCUGCUGAAUCAGGCCCACGGCACUGGGAGACGACGUUUGGGAAGCAGAAACUGAUCACUUCCUUCAGCAUAAAUGGUCUUAACAGCCUAAAUCAUUUCAGGCAAGGCUCUGUGAUAAAUCCUCACCUCACCCGCUCUCCUCUUUUUUUCUCCCACCAAGAAAAAUCUUUACUAUUAUAAUGCAAAAGAAACCUGUGUGAAUUGCUCCCUGCGAAGCUCAGCCUGUAAACAAGAUUGUAGCAACAAGGGAACAAGUCAUGGCUCCUUUUCAGGCAUCCCUGCAGUAAUCUGCUUUUGUCCCCAUGAUGCAGGGCACGUGCUGCAGGGCCCCAUGCGAGGGCCUCGUGCAGAGCCCAACAGAGGAAUUACAACAAAGGAAACCUUUUGUUCCCAUAGAAUAGAAGCUGUCCUGAUUUUUCAGACCUUUCUACCCAAGUGCGCUCCUGGCAAGGCAGGGAGCAGGACUGGGGAGGGCAGGAGGGCUGUGCUGCAUGGCCAGCCAGCUGAUCGCUUUCAUUACCUGCAGAAUAGCACCUGCCUCCUCUGUUUCUCUGCCUCUCUCCCGGUCCGCAUGGAGCUGGGGAGCACAGCACUCCCCCACCUUCUUUGGCAGCUGAACCAUGGCUGAAGGCACCGCAUGCUGUAGAACAACAGUGGGAGGGCAAUUGAAAAGAGAAAGUAGACGGUGAGAUCUCAAGCUCUCAAAUACCACGUUGGUCAGUGCUGCACACACUGCUGGCUCUGCACGGAGCAGCCUCAGAGGGAGAGAACUGGCCCAGGAAAGCAUAGCCUGCCUUCACGCACCUUCCUAUGCACACUCAUGGUCCAUCCUACCGCUGCAGGAGCUGGGAAACACACAGCCUGGAUACCUUCUUUAUAGCACUGAAUGGGUGCCCUAUGGAGCAGUUUACCAAUGCAAGCCCAUUGCUCCUCCUUUGCUAUGUAUGCACAGCUUCCCCAGGGGUUUUUGCUUCCUUCUUCUAUUACUUUUUAAGGUAGCAGUUGCCAGGUUCGAGCUUCCCUGUCGUCAGUUGCACUGAAUGCCACAGCAAUUAUAUGUUUCAAACAGGAGUUGUGGCACCCCAGAGUCCUGUCAAGCAAAAGAAAACGAUCUGCAGUUAAUGAAUGUGUGCUUAAUAUGGCUUAACACUAAAUAGAGACAAAUCAGCCUUACCUGAAGGCUAUGAUCCUAUGAAAGGCCGCCCUCUCCACUUGCUUGGUAUCGGUGAUGCUUUCCAUGCAGGAAGCAGGGACUGCAGUGCCUGGGAGAGCUCUGUGAAGUGGUUGGUGCUCCAACAGUUAAGGUGUCAGUCUCCAAAUUGCACAGGGCCCAGAAUAGCAAACUAUUCAGAGGUGGGUACCGCUGUGCAGGCGGGCAGCUUCAUUUCAGUCAAAUAUAGGGGAGAAACAAUGGAGGAUGUUUCCUGUCACGUUAGAAAUAGUCUAUAGAUGUUAAUAAAGAAAAAAGGAGGAGGAGGAGAAGAUAUUUUAGAAGCUAUUAUUUGAAUAUCGUAGUUUCAAAUGGCAUCUUGGGACUAAUUUUGAGGAAUAAAGGUUAGGGUAAGGGUUAGAACCCAAAGGGCUUUGGAUUGCAAAUAGAGGGCAGGUAAAAGGUGUCUGAGCUUCCCCAGCAAGCCGAUGCCAGAGCUGCCAAAUACAUCCCAACCUCCUGAUCUCCAGGCCACACAAGUGACACGCUGCACUGUAGCACGAGAUGCCCCUGCAGCCCCGGGGCUGUGCUUGCUGCUUGUCCAGGACAUUGCUGUUCUAUACCACUACUAAGAACAGAAACUACAGAUUUCUUACCUUUCCCUGAGCACAGACAGCCCUGGAAGCCACCUGAGCACAGACAGCUCUUCUUGUGACUGCCACCAGCACAGGCUUCACCGUGUCUGCAAAACACAUCAUUGCAAACUCAUUUCCUCCCCUGCCUUGAUUGUGGCAGGAGGCUGGGGCUGCUGCUGAGGGCUAACAGAGGGGCCUCUGAGGACACUGCCAAAUUCCAGCACUGCUGGAGGCUUUUCUUCAAAUACCAAGAACUGCAUUUUUCAAGACCAGCAGCGUAUGGGACAUUACCACAGAUGAGAAUUUCUGCAAGGUACAGUGCCCAGUACAUUAGAGGACCUCCAGGGUGAGCUGGAAUAAAACCUCUCCCCGGCAGCAGAGCGCAAGCGCUCAGACUUGCUUGGUGACAGCAGAGGUCACUGUGGUUGCCCAGGAAGAGGAAUGGCCUCUGUGGGUUCCCCAGCCACACCUUCCAGCUCCAUGAGACUGCAGCACAUGCAUUCUCAUGUUGAGAGGGAAACAUAGCAGGAGGGCAGAGGCCGAAGGACACCUGCCUGCAAAUGGCACACGCCAGCAUGAGGAAGGGAUGAAGGGGGGGGUGAGGAGGGGGGGAAAUCAGCAGUCCCAUGGGGCUGAAUUUCCCUGAGCCAGCAGCACUGUGUUGCAGGUGUUGGGUUCCCCAACCUUCCCCAGGUCCUCGUGCUCGCUGCUACACGCCUAGGACACCUGAUACAAAACCAGGAGCUUUCUGUUCACACCACGCACUGACAGCUCAGUGAGAGCAAGAGGGAACCAACCAGCCCAGUGCCUCCUUGCUAUGCUUGUGCGUCCCACCGUGCCUAUAUGGGUCCCUCACCCACCUCCUGCUUUUCUUGGAGGGUGGGUCAAAGACCCCCCUAAUAGAAUGCUUCCCCACAGGGAGGUCAAUAAAGAGUCCACCAGAAGAAUGGAGGAGGGACAAUCUCCAUCCCAAAGUUCAUCUGGUCCGAGAUGGUCUCUUGGCUGAAAAGCACUGAGUGAGGGAACAGAAAAGAACUGGGUCUGCUGGGAGGCAAAGGGCAGCCUAUUAAACUCUCCACACACAAACAAGGGCACCAGAAGCAACAGCCUGUGACAUUUCUGUUAGGGAAAAAAAAAGCAAAAGGCAUUUAUUUUCCUCUGUGCCCCAUACUGCCCAGUCUGAAAAAGAGACAGGGAUGACUUUUCAACUGAAUUAAUAAUGCAAAACCUGAGGAAGGGGCGAGCUGUGCAGGAUGCAGCUAAAGGGAGACUGCAAAGAGAUGGAUUUGCUGAUAACACAGCCCUUAGAAAACAAGCUUCUGGCGUUCCCCUCUUGACACCACGUCUGUUGCCUACCAGGGCAAUCAUAUCCAAGUGUAAUUGUCUAACAAUUGUUCUGCACUGAGAAAAUAGUUCUGAUUACAGACAUUAACACGUUUAGGCAUUAAGCUUCCUCACUGUAAUUACCCUUGAGCUUAGUCUCACAAAUGAAUUAAUGUGCUGAUCGCUUGGACUAAUAGAACCAGCAAAAGGGUGAUGAAUUGCUUCCAAAUCAGAUAAAAUCAAGCGUGACAUCAUUUAAUUAAUUUCAAGGCUUGUGGGGAGGAGAAAGGGGGUCAGCGUGAUGCUGGAAAGUAACGUACCUCUCCCCUCUCCCCUAGUGAUUUACUUUGGAGACAGAAAAAGGCAAACAGGAGGACGGGGAAGGGGAAGAUUCACACCAGGUGAGAACGGGGCUGUCAUUUCUGGAUGUGAGCAUGCAGCAAUGCACGACCAACACGCUGCCCACCCCCCUAUGGGGCUGAGUUGAUCUCCGAACUUCAGGCUCCAUACGUAAUCCCUUCUCUCAGCCCCUCUGGGAUCACUGCUUCUCUGCCCUUCGCCAUGGUCCCACACAGGGACAAGGCUGCAGUUAGGCAGGAGCUAGCCAUGGCCAGCAGGUACCCCCGGAUACCUCCCUUGGCUUCUCCCUGCACUACCAAGGGCUUCCCAGUUGUUUUUAC